rnacentral:rRNA from 1 species
AAAUAUGUACGCAUUCCACCGUUACACAUGGGAGUUCCACUGUCCUCUCUUGCACUCAGAGCGCUGGCGUUAUACUAAGUUCUGAAGUUAAAGCCUUUGGCUUAACCCGGAGAAGGGGCAUUGGAAACUGGAUAACUUGAGUGCAAGAGAGGACAGUGGAAACUCCAUGUGUAGCGGGUGGAAUGCGUAGAUAUAUGGAAGAACACCAGUGGCGAAGGCGGCUGUCUAGCUUUGCAACUGACGCUGAGGCUCGAAAAGCAUGGGGUAGCGAACAGGAUUAGAUACCUGGUAGUCCAUGCCGUAAACGAUGAGUGCUAGGUGUUGGAGGGUUUCCGCCCUUCAGUGCCGGAGCUAACGCAUUAAGCACUCCGCCUGGGGGAGUACGACCGCAAGGUUGAAACUCAAAGGAAUUGACGGGGGCCCGCACAAGCGGUGGAGCAUGUGGUUUAAUUCGAAGCUACGCGAAGAACCUUACCAGGUCUUGACAUCUUGCGCCAACCUCAGAGAUGAGGCGUUCCCUUCGGGGACGCAAUGACAGGUGGUGCAUGGUCGUCGUCAGCUCGUGUCGUGAGAUGUUGGGUUAAGUCCCGCAACGAGCGCAACCCUUGUUACUAGUUGCCAGCAUUCAGUUGGGCACUCUAGUGAGACUGCCGGUGACAAACCGGAGGAAGGUGGGGACGACGUCAGAUCAUCAUGCCCCUUAUGACCUGGGCUACACACGUGCUACAAUGGACGGUACAACGAGUAGCGAACUCGCAAGGGCCAGCUAAUCUCUUAAAACCGUUCUCAGUUCGGACUGCAGUCUGCAACUCGACUGCACGAAGUCGGAAUCGCUAGUAAUCGCGGAUCAGCAUGCCGCGGUGAAUACGUUCCCGGGCCUUGUACACACCGCCCGUCACACCAUGGGAGUUUGCAAUGCCCAAAGCCGGUGGCCUAACCUUCGGGAAGGAGCCGUCUAAGGCAGGGCAGAUGACUGGGGUGAAGUCGUAACA